UGUGCGUGCAAUUUGCUGUGAAAGUGAAGUUGCAAGUUUCAUACUCACGGAUUCAACAAAUCGGGAAAGUGGGUCAUUGAAGCUCUAAGAGUGGAAGUGCAAGUUGUUCCUGGAAAUGGAUUUCACGCAGAGAGAAAAAGAGGCUGCGCACGAUAAGGCGCAGAUGCGCAGGAUAAGAGCGUUCGCGGUAAGUGCUUUCGCGGGAGACAAG
rnacentral:lncRNA from 1 species